rnacentral:rRNA from 1 species
UGGGGAAUUUUGGACAAUGGGCGAACUUCUGAUCCAGCCAUGCCGCGUGCAGGAUGAAGGCCUUCGGGUUGUAAACUGCUUUUGUACGGAACGAAAAGACUCUGGUUAAUACCUGGGGUCCAUGACGGUACCGUAAGAAUAAGCACCGGCUAACUACGUGCCAGCAGCCGCGGUAAUACGUAGGGUGCAAGCGUUAAUCGGAAUUACUGGGCGUAAAGCGUGCGCAGGCGGUUAUAUAAGACAGAUGUGAAAUCCCCGGGCUCAACCUGGGAACUGCAUUUGUGACUGUAUAGCUAGAGUACGGCAGAGGGGGAUGGAAUUCCGCGUGUAGCAGUGAAAUGCGUAGAUAUGCGGAGGAACACCGAUGGCGAAGGCAAUCCCCUGGGCCUGUACUGACGCUCAUGCACGAAAGCGUGGGGAGCAAACAGGAUUAGAUACCCUGGUAGUCCACGCCCUAAACGAUGUCAACUGGUUGUUGGGUCUUCACUGACUCAGUAACGAAGCUAACGCGUGAAGUUGACCGCCUGGGGAGUACGGCCGCAAGGUUG